rnacentral:rRNA from 1 species
CGAUGCAACGCGAAAACCUUACCCACCUUUGACAUGUACGGAACUUGCCAGAGAUGGCUUGGUGCUCGAAAGAGAGCCGUAACACAGGUGCUGCAUGGCUGUCGUCAGCUCGUGUCGUGAGAUGUUGGGUUUAAGUCCCGCAACGAGCGCAACCCUUGCCAUUAGUUGUCAGCGAGUCAUGUCGGAUACUCUAAUGGGACUGCCGGUGACGAGCCGGAGGAAGGUGGGGAUGACGUCAAGUCAGCAUGGCCUUUAUGUCCAGGGCCACACACGUGCUACAAUGGACGGUACAGAGGGAUGCAAUGCCGCAAGGUGGAGCCAAUCCUCAAAACCGUUCUCAGUUCGGAUUGCAGGCUGCAAUUCGCCUGCAUGAAGCUGGAAUUGCUAGUAAUCGCAGAUCAGCUACGCUGCGGUGAAUACGUUCUCGGGCCUU